rnacentral:rRNA from 1 species
GAGUUUGAUCCUGGCUCAGGAUGAACGCUAGCGGCAGGCCUAACACAUGCAAGUCGAGGGGCAGCGGGGAAAAGCUUGCUUUUCCGCCGGCGACCGGCGCACGGGUGCGGAACGCGUAUGGAACCUGCCCCUGUCAGGGGAAUAGCCCAGGGAAACUUGGAUUAAUGCCCCAUGGUACCGUUAUAUCGCAUGAUAUUACGGUUAAAGAUUUAUCGGACAGGGAUGGCCAUGCGUACCAUUAGUUAGUUGGUGAGGUAACGGCUCACCAAGGCAGCGAUGGUUAGGGGCCCUGAGAGGGGGAUCCCCCACACUGGUACUGAGACACGGACCAGACUCCUACGGGAGGCAGCAGUGAGGAAUAUUGGACAAUGGGCGGGAGCCUGAUCCAGCCAUGCCGCGUGCAGGAUGACGGCCCUAUGGGUUGUAAACUGCUUUUAUACGGGAAGAAACGCGCCCACGUGUGGGCGUUUGACGGUACCGUAAGAAUAAGGACCGGCUAACUCCGUGCCAGCAGCCGCGGUAAUACGGAGGGUCCGAGCGUUAUCCGGAAUCAUUGGGUUUAAAGGGUCCGUAGGCGGGCCUGUAAGUCAGGGGUGAAAGUUUGUGGCUCAACCAUAAAAUUGCCUUUGAUACUGCAGGUCUUGAGUCAUGGUGGGGUUGCCGGAACAUGUGGUGUAGCGGUGAAAUGCAUAGAUAUCACAUAGAACACCGAUCGCGAAGGCAGGUGACCAACCAUGUACUGACGCUGAUGGACGAAAGCGUGGGUAGCGAACGGGAUUAGAUACCCCGGUAGUCCACGCCGUAAACGAUGGAUACUAGCUGUGGGGACUUCGGUCUCCGUGGCCAAGCGAAAGUGAUAAGUAUCCCACCUGGGGAGUACGUUCGCAAGAAUGAAACUCAAAGGAAUUGACGGGGGCCCGCACAAGCGGUGGAGCAUGUGGUUUAAUUCGAUGAUACGCGAGGAACCUUACCAGGGCUUAAAUGCAGGCUGCAUGGGGUAGAGAUACCCCUUUCUUCGGACCGCCUGCAAGGUGCUGCAUGGUUGUCGUCAGCUCGUGCCGUGAGGUGUCAG